rnacentral:rRNA from 1 species
GUAGGGAAUCUUCGGCAAUGGACGAAAGUCUGACCGAGCAACGCCGCGUGAGUGAAGAAGGUUUUCGGAUCGUAAAACUCUGUUGUUAUAGAAGAAUGUUGAUUAGAGUGGAAAAUUAAUCAAGUGACGGUAUCUAACCAGAAAGGGACGGCUAACUACGUGCCAGCAGCCGCGGUAAUACGUAGGUCCCGAGCGUUGUCCGGAUUUAUUGGGCGUAAAGCGAGCGCAGGUGGUUUAAUAAGUCUGAUGUAAAAGGCAGUGGCUCAACCAUUGUGUGCAUUGGAAACUGUUAGACUUGAGUGCAGUAGAGGAGAGUGGAAUUCCAUGUGUAGCGGUGAAAUGCGUAGAUAUAUGGAGGAACACCGGUGGCGAAAGCGGCUCUCUGGACUGUCACUGACACUGAGGCUCGAAAGCGUGGGUAGCAAACAGGAUUAGAAACCCCGGUAGUCC